rnacentral:rRNA from 1 species
GACGAACGCUGGCGGCGUGCCUAAUACAUGCAAGUCGAACGCUGAAGGAGGAGCUUGCUUCUCUGGAUGAGUUGCGAACGGGUGAGUAACGCGUAGGUAACCUGCCUGGUAGCGGGGGAUAACUAUUGGAAACGAUAGCUAAUACCGCAUAACAGUAGAUAUCGCAUGAUAUCUACUUGAAAGGUGCAAUUGCAUCACUACCAGAUGGACCUGCGUUGUAUUAGCUAGUUGGUGAGGUAACGGCUCACCAAGGCGACGAUACAUAGCCGACCUGAGAGGGUGAGCGGCCACACUGGGACGGAGACACGCCCCAGACUCCUACGGGAGGCAGCAGUAGGGAAUCUUCGGCAAUGGACGGAAGUCUGACCGCGCAGCGCCGCGUGAGUGAAGAAGGUUGUCGGAUCGUAAAGCUCGGUUGUAAGGGAAGAACGAGUGUGAGAGUGGAAAGUUCACACUGUGACGGUAUCGUACCAGAAAGGGACGGCUAACUACGUG